UGGGGAAUAUUGGACAAUGGGGGAAACCCUGAUCCAGCCAUGCCGCGUGAGUGAUGAAGGCCUUCGGGUUGUAAAGCUCUUUCGCACGCGACGAUGAUGACGGUAGCGUGAGAAGAAGCCCCGGCUAACUUCGUGCCAGCAGCCGCGGUAAUACGAAGGGGGCAAGCGUUGUUCGGAAUUACUGGGCGUAAAGGGCGCGUAGGCGGUGCGUUAAGUUAGGCGUGAAAGCCCUGGGCUCAACCCGGGAACUGCGCUUGAUACUGGCGCGCUUGAAUCCAGGAGAGGUUGGUGGAAUUCCCAGUGUAGAGGUGAAAUUCGUAGAGAUUGGGAAGAACACCGGUGGCGAAGGCGGCCAACUGGACUGGUAUUGACGCUGAGGCGCGAAAGCGUGGGGAGCAAACAG
rnacentral:rRNA from 1 species